ACGGAGAGUUUGAUCCUGGCUCAGGAUGAACGCUGGCGGCGUGCUUAACACAUGCAAGUCGAACGGAAAGGCCCUGCUUUUGUGGGGUGCUCGAGUGGCGAACGGGUGAGUAACACGUGAGUAACCUGCCCUUGACUUUGGGAUAACUUCAGGAAACUGGGGCUAAUACCGGAUAGGAGCUCCUGCUGCAUGGUGGGGGUUGGAAAGUUUCGGCGGUUGGGGAUGGACUCGCGGCUUAUCAGCUUGUUGGUGGGGUAGUGGCUUACCAAGGCUUUGACGGGUAGCCGGCCUGAGAGGGUGACCGGCCACAUUGGGACUGAGAUACGGCCCAGACUCCUACGGGAGGCAGCAGUGGGAAUAUUGCGCAAUGGGCGAAAGCCUGACGCAGCCACGCCGCGUGUGUGAUGAAGGCCCUAGGGUCGUAAAGCACUGUCGGGGGAGAAGAAGUUCUGACGGUAUCCCCCAAGAAAGCACCGGCUAACUCCGUGCCAGCAGCCUCGGUAAUACGGAGGGUGCAAGCGUUGCUCGGAAUCACUGGGCGUAAAGCGUACGCAGGCGGUUUAUCAAGUCGGGUGUGAAAUCCCGGAGCUCAACUCCGGAACUGCGCCCGAAACUGGUAGACUUGAAUACGGGAGAGGUAAGCGGAAUUCCUGGUGUAGAGGUGAAAUUCGUAGAUAUCAGGAGGAACACCAGUGGCGAAAGCGGCUUACUGGCCCGAUAUUGACGCUCAUGUACGAAAGC
rnacentral:rRNA from 1 species